GUGAGGGCACUGAGCAGUUCAUUAACUCUUCCAAGGUCAUCAAACAUCCCAACUACAACUCCAGGAGCCCAGAUACUGAUAUUAUGCUGAUCAAACUUGCCUCCCCAGCUACCCUCAACUCUUAUGUCAAGACUGUGCCUCUGCCUUCCAGCUGUGCCUCUGCCGGCACUCGCUGCUUGAUAGCUGGCUGGGGAAACACGAUCAGCAAUUGAA